AGAACGACUCUCGGCAACGGAUAUCUCGGCUCUCGCAUCGAUGAAAAACGCAGCGAAAUGCGAUACUUGGUGUGAAUUGCAGAAUCCCGUGAACCAUCGAGUCUUUGAACGCAAGUUGCGCCCAAAGCCCUCGGGCCGAGGGCACGUCUGCCUGGGUGUCACGC
rnacentral:rRNA from 1 species